UACGUAGGGGGCUAGCGUUGUCCGGAAUCAUUGGGCGUAAAGCGCGUGUAGGCGGUCCGGUAAGUCCGCUGUGAAAGUCGGGGGCUCAACCUCGAGACGCCGAUGGAAACCAUUUGGCUAGAGUCCGGAAGAGGAGAGUGGAAUUCCUGGUGUAGCGGUGAAAUGCGCAGAUAUCAGGAAGAACACCCGUGGCUAAGGCGGCUCUCUAGUACGGUACUGACGCUGAGACGCGAAAGCGUGGGGAGCGAACAGG
rnacentral:rRNA from 1 species